rnacentral:rRNA from 1 species
UACGAAGGGGGCUAGCGUUGUUCGGAAUUACUGGGCGUAAAGGGCGCGUAGGCGGCCUGUUAAGUCGAACGUGAAAUCCCCGGGCUCAACCCGGGAACUGCGUCCGAUACUGGCAGGCUUGAAUCCGGGAGAGGGAUGCGGAAUUCCAGGUGUAGCGGUGAAAUGCGUAGAUAUCUGGAGGAACGCCGGUGGCGAAAGCGACGUGCUGGACCCCUUCUGACGCUGAGGCGCGAAAGCCAGGGGAGCA